rnacentral:rRNA from 1 species
GACGAACGCUGGCGUCGUGCUUAACACAUGCAAGUCGAACGGAAAGGCCCUGCUUUUGUGGGGUGCUCGAGUGGCGAACGGGUGAUUAACACGUUAGUAACCUGCCCUUUACUUUGGGAUAACUUCAGGAAACUGGGGCUAAUACCGGAUAGGAGCUCCUGCUGCAUGGUGGGGGUUGGAAAGUUUCGGCGGUUGGGGAUGGACUCGCGGCUUAUCAGCUUGUUGGUGGGGUAGUGGCUUACCAAGGCUUUGACGGGUAGCCGGCCUGAGAGGGUGACCGGCCACAUUGGGACUGAGAUACGGCCCAGACUCCUACGGGAGGCAGCAGUGGGGAAUAUUGCACAAUGGGCGGAAGCCUGAUGCAGCAACGCCGCGUGCGGGAUGACGGCCUUCGGGUUGUAAACCGCUUUCGCCUGUGACGAAGCGUGAGUGACGGUAAUGGGUAAAGAAGCACCGGCUAACUACGUG